UCGAGGUUUGUUUUGGAUGGCUUGGGUUUUAUGAAAUAAAAUAGGGUUUACGUUAUAGGUGAUUUCAAGAGUUUUUUAAUAGAUCUAUGGGUGAAAUUUUGUUAGCUUAUGGUUAUAAUUGUGUUUAAUAUGUGUCCUAAAUUUGAGCUUGAUCUAACGGAUGAAUUGAGGCAUAUUGAGGUUUAAGUGGGUCAAGGUCUCAGAAAGUAGAAUUUUAGGUCUAGUAGGGGUUUUUGAGAUUUCUUAAAAUCUACUAGUUGGAUUGGAGUGAAACUUACGUAAGAGGAUAUUAGACUUGUUUUCCUAUGCGUAUGAGAAUUUUGAGAUCAAUCGAAAGGUGCAAAAGAGAGAUAUUGGCUCUAGAAGAUUGGCAUUUAGAUUGGAGAAGGAGGCCGCCCAAUAUCCGAGCACAUUUUUGAGGAUAUUGUCAAUUUCGUAACUCCGAUCCU
rnacentral:lncRNA from 1 species